CGGACGGGUGAGUAACGCGUGAGAAUCUGCCUUCAGGUCUGGGACAACCACUGGAAACGGUGGCUAAUACCGGAUGUGCCGCAAGGUGAAAGGUUAACUGCCUGAAGAUGAGCUCGCGUCUGAUUAGCUAGUUGGAAGUGUAAAGGACUCCCAAGGCGACGAUCAGUAGCUGGUCUGAGAGGACGAUCAGCCACACUGGGACUGAGACACGGCCCAGACUCCUACGGGAGGCAGCAGUGGGGAAUUUUCCGCAAUGGGCGAAAGCCUGACGGAGCAAUACCGCGUGAGGGAGGAAGGCUCUUGGGUCGUAAACCUCUUUUCUCAGGGAAGAACAAAAUGACGGUACCUGAGGAAUAAGCAUCGGCUAACUCCGUGCCAGCAGCCGCGGUAAUACGGAGGAUGCAAGCGUUAUCCGGAAUGAUUGGGCGUAAAGCGUCCGCAGGUGGCAAUGUAAGUCUGCUGUUAAAGAGUCUAGCUCAACUAGAUAAGAGCAGUGGAAACUACAUAGCUAGAGUACGUUCGGGGCAGAGGGAAUUCCUGGUGUAGCGGUGAAAUGCGUAGAGAUCAGGAAGAACACCGGUGGCGAAGGCGCUCUGCUAGGCCGUAACUGACACUGAGGGACGAAAGCUAGGGGAGCGAAUGGGAUUAGAUACCCCAGUAGUC
rnacentral:rRNA from 1 species